rnacentral:rRNA from 1 species
GGGAAGACCUAGCGGCGAACGGGUGAGUAACACAUCGGAACGUAUCCAGUCGUGGGGGACAANCAGUCGAAAGAUUGGCCAAUACCGCAUACGCUGGGUGACUAGGAAAGCGGGGGACGCUCGCAAGAGCGCCUCGCGCGAUUGGCGCGGCCGAUGUCCGAUUAGCUAGUUGGUGCGGGUAAGAGCCCACCAAGGCGACGAUCGGUAGCGGGUCUGAGAGGAUGAUCCGCCACACUGGGACUGAGACACGGCCCAGACUCCUACGGGAGGCAGCAGUGGGGAAUUUUGGACAAUGGGGGCAACCCUGAUCCAGCCAUGCCGCGUGAGUGAAGAAGGCCUUCGGGUUGUAAAGCUCUUUCGGGUGGGACGAAAUCGCCCGCAUAAAUAAUGCGUGUGGAUGACGGUACCGCAAGAAGAAGCCCCGGCUAACUACGUGCCAGCAGCCGCGGUAAUACGUAGGGGGCGAGCGUUGUCCGGAAUUAUUGGGCGUAAAGAGCGUGUAGGCGGUUCGGUAAGUCUGUCGUGAAAUCCUGGGGCUCAACCCCGGGCGUGCGAUGGAUACUGCCGGGCUAGAGGGUGGCAGAGGCGAGUGGAAUUCCCGGUGUAGCGGUGAAAUGCGCAGAUAUCGGGAGGAACACCAGUAGCGAAGGCGGCUCGCUGGGCCACACCUGACGCUGAGACGCGAAAGCUAGGGGAGCGAACAGGAUUAGAUACCCUGGUAGUCCUAGCUGUAAACGAUGGACACUAGGUGUGGGGGGAGUCGAAUCCCUCUGUGCCGCAGCUAACGCGUUAAGUGUCCCGCCUGGGGAGUACGGCCGCAAGGCUAAAACUCAAAUGAAUUGACGGGG